AACGAACGCUGGCGGCAGGCCUAAUACAUGCAAGUCGAACGCACCGCAAGGUGAGUGGCAGACGGGUGAGUAACGCGUGGGAAUCUUCCUUGCAGUACGGAAUAACUCCGGGAAACCGGUGCUAAUACCGUAUACGUCCUUCGGGAGAAAGAUUUAUCGCUGUAAGAUGAGCCCGCGUCGGAUUAGCUAGUUGGUGGGGUAAAGGCCUACCAAGGCUACGAUCCGUAGCUGGUCUGAGAGGAUGAUCAGCCACACUGGGACUGAGACACGGCCCAGACUCCUACGGGAGGCAGCAGUAGGGAAUAUUGGACAAUGGGCGCAAGCCUGAUCCAGCCAUGCCGCGUGAGUGAAGAAGGCCUUAGGGUUGUAAAGCUCUUUUGGCGGGGAAGAUAAUGACGGUACCCGCAGAAUAAGCUCCGGCUAACUUCGUGCCAGCAGCCGCCGUAA
rnacentral:rRNA from 1 species